CUCCUACGGGAGGCAGCAGUGGGGAAUAUUGCACAAUGGGCGCAAGCCUGAUGCAGCCAUGCCGCGUGUAUGAAGAAGGCCUUCGGGUUGUAAAGUACUUUCAGCAGUGAGGAAGGUGGGUAUGUUAAUAGCAUACUCAUUUGACGUUAGCUGCAGAAGAAGCACCGGCUAACUCCGUGCCAGCAGCCGCGGUAAUACGGAGGGUGCGAGCGUUAAUCGGAAUUACUGGGCGUAAAGCGCAUGCAGGUGGUUUGUUAAGUCAGAUGUGAAAGCCCGGGGCUCAACCUCGGAAUUGCAUUUGAAACUGGCAAACUAGAGUACUGUAGAGGGGGUAGAAUUUCAGGUGUAGCGGUGAAAUGCGUAGAGAUCUGAAGGAAUACCGGUGGCGAAGGCGGCCCCCUGGACAGAUACUGACACUCAGAUGCGAAAGCGUGGGGAGCAAACAGGAUUAGAUACCCUGAUAG
rnacentral:rRNA from 1 species